rnacentral:rRNA from 1 species
UUUUCAAGAGUGUGUUUGUUUGACCGUAUCAUGAUAGACCCCUUGUAUAUCCAGUAAAACAGCACUUUCCGUUCGUUGGUUGUUAUAAAAAUGAAUAUUUGGUUGAUAUACACUUCGUUGAAUAAUGUUAAGUCAACACGUGUUCGGUUGGAUUGUAAAGGAUACGUAUAUACGUCCAGUCCUAGCGAGUGUCCGUUUUGCUUAGCUGUUAAGACCGAAGUUCAAAGAUUUCUGGAACAUGGGUCUUAGAAACUUCUUAGUUUAGUUCCCCUCUCCCCUCUUCUGCAGGGUCGUCGAGGGGCUCUUGCUCACGGGUGAAGGGAUGUAGAGUCCCUUCGCCUUCGCGGGGCUUGGGGAGCGACUAAGCUCGCUGUCGAUGAGUUCUUCAAAGGAAGGGAGGGUGCUAUUGCUGCGGUUGCCGGGGGAGUCAAGUAACUUUUAUACUUCUCCUCGUCGCAUCAGAUACACCAACGACAAAACAGCCCACGGAACAGUACCAACCCGUUACAGCGAGGCUGGGGUUCUCGUGGAUGCUUCUACCGGUACUGUUGCGCUGAUACCACCGGAGCAGUAAUCUACUCUCGUUUGAAUGGUAUUUUACCACACAGCGUUCCCUAACAUUGUGGUUUCCACUUGGUUUACGGGUAGUGACGAAAACGACGGAGUUACGCGUCCCUCGAGGAACAAAGUCAAGGUCUCCUCUAACGGUCCUAGUGACGGGUUGAAACGGUGGGCCUUUUAUUCCUACAAGAUCGACUAUACAUAAACUAGUGUAGGGAAAAUCAAGGUCUCCUCUAAAGGUCCUAGUGACGGGUUGAAACGGUGGGGCUUUUAUUCCUAAAAGAUCGACUAUGUCAUACAUAAACUAGUGUAGGGAUGGAUCGA